rnacentral:lncRNA from 1 species
GCCCCAGGCAGCUCCCUCCAUUCCGCUAGCCAUGUGAGGUAUUCUGCCUUCUUCUCUCUGGGAUCUGUGAGGAAUAUGCUGCUUCUGUGACUCUAUGUGCUUUGUCCAGUUGCCUCCUCUGUCUCCCCGGACAGAUGCACCAGAACCUAGCUCCUCUCCUAGUCAGGGCUGGCCUAAAGAGUGGCUAUCUUAUUGGGAAUAGCUGGAAACAGGUCAGAUGGGAGCCACAAGGAGUCUGCCAGUAUGAACAAGAUUCCUGUGAGAGCAACACCAGACCAUGGGUCUCACCCUCAGGCAUGAGGCCACCUGCCAGGAUAAAGAAGAAUCUUGUGAAAGGCGUGCUGUACACAUCCACCACCAAAUCCCCGAGGCCCAUUAGGUGGGGCACAGUUUAUAGGAACUCUGCAGAAAGAGACCACAAGACCAAAUCAGAAAGAAUCACAACAGCCUCAGCCACAUGGUUCCCUCCAUGAGCAGAGGCACCCACAGCACCGAGGAGAGGGGAGGGGAGCUGAAGAAAGGGGAGGGGAGAGUAGGAGAGGAUGUCUUCAAGCCACCCUGUUUUCAGCCCCACAGGCCCCGUGAUAUGAGAAGCACAGAGGGUUUCUCCAAGUACAGAGAACAAAACAGGAAUAAUCCUCUAGUUCUCCUUCCACAUCCUCAUCCUAGGGCAUUUUUAUUUAUGCAGAGUACACACUCCCUGUCUUGUACCUCACUUUCCUAGGUGAGGGUGCCCCCUAACAUGCUGGCUUGGUGGGUGUUUUCCUGGGUCAUCCCCAGCGGGCACCUGAGCCUGGGCUAUGCAACCUGCUGCCUCCUCCUUGUAGGAGCCCCCUCUCCCAGCUGUAGGUCUCUUCCUCUCAAAGGACUCAGCAUCAGCCUCAUGCAAGAAAUAUCCUUGGGAAACAGUGGCCUGACAAGAAGGGUGAGGGUGAAGGAAAGGCUAAGAAUUGAGAUGGAGACGGUGAGGGAGGAGGGAAAGGAACAGUGGACCCACUUUGCUGAUAAAGGAGCUUAGGUCAGAACAGCCUCCAGACACAGAGAGGAAUGGCCUCCAGGUAUGAGGGCAGCAGAGGGGCUGGAAAUGGGAAAGAAGAGUGGCCUCCAGGUAUGAGGGCAGCAGAGGGACUGGAAAUGGGAAAGAGUACAGGGUGUGGAGGAAGAAGGGGCAGCCACAUCACUGCAGGAGACUCUGGACAAAGGAACAUUUU